rnacentral:sRNA from 1 species
CUUUUAAUCAAUUGGUCGCAGGUUCGAAUCCUGCACGACCCACCAUUGUUCUGGUGGAAUGCAGUAAUAAACGUGAAGGAUAACGUUGCUUCAGCAACGGCCCGUAGGGCGAGGCAAAGCCGAGUCAUCCUGCACGACCCACCA